AGAGUGACCAAUUGUUUUGGUUUCCCUGGGACUGAGGGAUCCCCAGGAUUUGGGCUCCUUAGUGCUA
rnacentral:miRNA from 1 species